UCUCCUGUAGCUUAGUGGUAAAGCGUCCGACUGGUGUGCGGAAGGUCAUAGCCUCGGCUACUCUUGGGAGAA